GGGGGCCCGAGGAUUCUAGAGAGAGCACAGCCCAGGCACAGUGGGAGUCGCAGUGGCUGCCGCCGUGGCCGCGUAGCCCGAACGCAGAUCGUGGAAGCCGAAGACGCGGCAACGGUGGUCCCUCCAGAUGCCAGGGAAGGUUUGCAGGAAGCCGCUCCCGACACCCUUUGCGCCACCGGAAGCCUCGUUCCCUCAGAUUUCCCCCUCCCUCCCGGACCGACUUCCGGGUGUGGCUGCCGCCCUUCCCCCACCCACGCCGGCGGGAGCCGCCCGUUCGCGCUGCCAGCAGCUUCCGCCUGCUACGGUCCUGGCAAGCACCUCGGGAUCCCAUUCCUUCACAGGGACCCUAGCCAGUUAAAGCUGAUACAUUCCUGUGGGUCAACUAUGCAACUAACUCAGAUUUUGAGCAAACAAAGCUCUCAAGUUGGUGAUCCUCAGGAGUCUCUGCAUUAGUUGGACAGCUCUUCUGGAAUUAUCUUCUAAGUCAACUGUGGGUUGGGUAGGUGGCUCUGCUGAUUUUUCGCUGGACUUCCACAUUUGGGACGAGUUGGCUGUCAUCAGCUCUAGAAAGGGUGUGGCCGUUUUACAUUGGCUGUUUUCCUCACAUUCCUCAAGCAGGUACUGUAAUAAAGAACUGGAGAAAUACAGUCAGAUGGGAAGUAGCCCUUGCUGUCAAGGAGCUUGCCAUCUAAUGGGGGAGACAGGCAAGUAAACCAAAGACUACACAGUGCAGUAUGGUAAGUGCCAUGAUUUUGAUGUGACAGGGCACAGUGGACGACCUUCCAAAUCAAAGCAAGUAACUAGGGGUUGACAAUGGUAAGUAUCAUAGUUGAAGUAUCCUUGAACAAGGUUUCAGGAAGAAGAAGAAGGGAAUUUCAUGCAGGGAAACAGCCAAAGCUCAGUGAGUCAAAAUAUCACAGCAUUCUUGGUAAGCCCAAUUGUUUUUUCUGUUUUGCUAUUUUGGUGGAGAGAAAGGAACACAUAAAGGAAUAACAUGAGAGAAGGCUAUUUGGGGAAGUGUAGUAGUUAAGGUUCUGGCUCAAACAACAACUGCAGCUCAUAAAGUUGACUUUAGUGGAAGGAUACUGGGGUAUCUCAUGGAAUCUUGGGAACUGUUGAAUAACCAGGGAAACUCUGGGAAACUCACUGGUAGGAAUCCAUAAACUGUCCUCCUGGUGGGCUGUAAACAACUCACCCUCUAUGCAUCUCACAUCAAAAUUCCAGUUUCUUGGGAAAACAAGUCUGUUUGCCCAAUUUGGGUCAUAUUUCCACGUCCAUGUUACUCAGGCAUGAUUCAUCUGCAAGUUAUGUGUAUAGAUAUUUUGCUACUGUUCCACCCUUACGCUGUGCUGGGGAGGGAGGUGUCACUGUGAGCUGUGUCGGUGCCUUAAGAGAUAUCUGUUGUGUCUUAUUACUUGGUUGCUUUUCCCCACAUGUACAAUGACAAAAAUGCCUUCAACCUAUUUGAUCCAGCCGUUCCAGUACAACUCCUAUACUUGCCAUCUUUCCAAGCCCAAAGGUACAUCCAGCUGAUGGAAGGAGCAUCUUGGUGUUAAUAUUCUUUUAGUCAUGGUCUCUGAAAGUAAAAUGUCUAUUCUUCUAAUUCUGGCACAAUCUUAUCUAGCUAUAGUUCCUCAUGGUCCUGCACUCCAUGGACUAAAUUAUGAUGAAACUGAAACACAAAAAAUUUAGAUUAACUCUUAGGUGACAAAGCCAGGAUUGAAGCUCAUGCGGUCUGGCUCCAGAACAACUCUUCUUCAUAGUUACGUUAUACUGCCCCUGCAUUGUUGGUAUUGAAAAUAACUGAUACCGUGCUUCCAGAAGAUUUUUCUAACAGUGUUUGCAAGCUAUAAAAUAGUGCUUUCACUUAGAAAAGGCUAGACGUGGUGGUUCAUGCCUGUAAUCCCAGCACUUUGAGAGGCCGAGGCACCAUGCUGGGAGAUAAGGAUCCAACAUAAGACAAACAGUGCUGAUGCUUUUGGAAAGCUCAUAUUCAAGCUGGGGAGACAAACAACAUACAAAAGUUCUCAUCAUGAUACUUUAAGGAUGAGGACAGCUGAUGUGGCUGGCCUGAAAAAUAAGUAGAGAUGCGGUUUCGCCAUGUUGGCCGGGCUGGUCUUGAAGUCCUGACCUCAGGUGAUUCACCUACCUCAGCUUCCCGACGUACUGGGUUUACAGGCAUGAGCCACCGUUCCCGGCCAAGGUGGCUGUAGCUACCUUCUGCAUAUGGAUAUCCAGUUUUCCCAGCACCACUUAUUAAAGAGACUGUCUUUUCUGCAGUGUAUAUUCUUGGCACCGUUGUUGAAAAUGAAUUCAUUGUAGGUGUGUGGGUUUGUUUCUGGGUUCUCUAUUCUGUUCAACUUGUCUAUGUGUCUGUUUUUAUGCCAGUACCGUGUCAUUUUAGUUACCAGAGCUCUGCAGUAUAAUUUGAAACCAGGUCAUGUGAUUCCUCCAGUUUUGUGGUAUUAGGAUAGGUUUGGCUAUUCUGAGUCUUUUGUGGUUCCAUAUAAAUUUUAGAAUUUUUUUUUUCUAUUUCUGUGAAGAAUGUCAUUGGUAUUUUGAUAGGGAUUGCGUUGAAUCUGUAGAUUGCUUUGGGUAGUAUGGACAUUUUAACAAUAUUCAUUCUUCUAAUCCAUGAACAUGGAAUACCUUUCCAUUUUUUGGUGUCCAUUUCAAUUUCUUUCAUCAGUCUUAUACUUUUCAUUAUAGAGAUCUUUCACUUCUUGGAUUAACUCCUAUGUAUUUAAUUUUACUUGUAGCUAUUGUAAAUGGGAUUACUUUUUUUUUUUUUUUUGACGGAGUUUCACCCUUGGCAUCCAGGCUAGUGUGCAAUGGCGCAACCUCAGCUCACUGCAACCUCCACCUCCCAGGUUCAAGCAAUUCUCCUGCCUCAGCCUCCUGAGUAGCUGGAAUUACAGGUGCCCGCCACCACACCCGGCUAAUUUUUGUAUUUUUAGUAGAGACAGGGUUUCACCACGUUGGUCAGGCUGGUCUUGAACUCCUGACCUCAGAUGAUCUGCCCACCUCGACCUCCCAAAGUGCUGGGAUUACAGGCAUGAGCCACCACUUCCAGCAAGGGAUUACUUUUUUAAUCUCUUUUUCAGAUUUUUCACUGUUGGCAUAUAGAAAUCCUACUAAUUUUUGUAUGUUGAUUUUGUAUCCUGGAACUUUACUGAAUCUGUUUAUAAUUUGUGUAUUUGUUUAUAGUAGUUUUUUGGUGGACUCUUUCAGUUUUUCCAAAUAUAAGAUCAUAUCAUUGGCAAACAAGGACAGUUUGAUUUCUUCUAUUCCAAUUUGGAUGCCUUUAUUUCUUUCUGUUGUCUGAUUGCUCUAGUUAGGACUUCCAGUACUAUGUUGAAUAACAGUGAUGAAAGUGGGCAUCCUUGCCAUGUUCCAGAUCUUAGAAAAGAGGCUUUCAGUUUUUCACCAUUCAGUUUGAUACUAGCUGUGGCAGCUUCCAUGAGAAUCACGCAGUUUGAAGAAGCAUUUCACUGAAAAAUAGGGAUUGCUGUUCUGGAAAGACAAAACAAUUGUCUACAAUUCUAAAGAAGAAGUGAACACAAUAAUUAAAUCAAUGUUAUUCUGGGUCUAAAGCUUAUAUUCUUAAUUACUAUAUUAUCCCAUCUUAAAAUUUUAAUUUGGAAAUUAUAUAUCUAAAUAUUAUAAUCAAUAAAGUUGAACACACAUGAUGAAGUGUGAAAAGAAGUAAAAAACAGAUGUGUGAAAUGAUUCCAUAAUUAUUAAUGUGCUUAUGUUUCAAAGAGUUUUCACAACCCAACAAAACUUACCCUCUCUGGGGCCUUUGUAAAAACAAACAACAACAACAAAAAACUCAUUCUCCAUUCUUCCACCUGCUCCACAAAACAAAAAUGCAUCUUAUUCACCUUAGAAUCCACAGGUACUUGGUAGAGGCUCAAAAAAUGUUUAUUUAGUAAAACCAAAAUGUCUUCCAAAAAAUAACAAUAGUUCUUUUCUUUUUCUUUUCUUUUCUUUUUUCUUUUUUCUUUUUUUUUUGAUACAG
rnacentral:lncRNA from 1 species